AGUCGACGAAGCAACUGGAGGAAGUUUUCGGAUGGAAUCCGGUUGACUGAGUGGCGGACGGGUGAGUAACGCGUGGAUAACCUGCCUCACACUGGGGGAUAACAGUUAGAAAUGGCUGCUAAUACCGCAUAAGCGUACAGUACCGCAUGGUACGGUGUGAAAAACCCAGGUGGUGUGAGAUGGAUCCGCGUCUGAUUAGCCAGUUGGCGGGGUAACGGCCCACCAAAGCGACGAUCAGUAGCCGACCUGAGAGGGUGACCGGCCACAUUGGGACUGAGACACGGCCCAACCUCCUACGGGAGGCAGCAGUGGGGAAUAUUGCACAAUGGGCGAAAGCCUGAUGCAGCGACGCCGCGUGAGUGAAGAAGUAUCUCGGUAUGUAAAGCUCUAUCAGCAGGGAAGAAAAUGACGGUACCUGACUAAGAAGCCCCGGCUAACUACGUGCCAGCAGCCGCGGUAAUACGUAGGGGGCAAGCGUUAUCCGGAUUUACUGGGUGUAAAGGGAGCGUAGACGGCGACGCAAGUCUGGAGUGAAAGCCCGGGGCCCAACCCCGGGACUGCUUUGGAAACUGUGUUGCUGGAGUGCAGGAGAGGUAAGUGGAAUUCCUAGUGUAGCGGUGAAAUGCGUAGAUAUUAGGAGGAACACCAGUGGCGAAGGCGGCUUACUGGACUGUAACUGACGUUGAGGCUCGAAAGCGUGGGGAGCAAACAGGAUUAGAUACCCUGGUAGUCCACGCCGUANACGAUGAAUGCUAGNUGUCGGGGGGCAAAGCCCUUCG
rnacentral:rRNA from 1 species